GAUGAACGCUGGCGGCGUGCUUAACACAUGCAAGUCGAACGAUGAAGCCCAGCUUGCUGGGUGGAUUAGUGGCGAACGGGUGAGUAACACGUGAGUAACCUGCCCUUAACUCUGGGAUAAGCCUGGGAAACUGGGUCUAAUACCGGAUAGGAGCGUCCACCGCAUGGUGGGUGUUGGAAAGAUUGAUCGUUUUUGGAUGGACUCGCGGCCUAUCAGCUUGUUGGUGAGGUAAUGGCUCACCAAGGCGACGACGGGUAGCCGGCCUGAGAGGGUGACCGGCCACACUGGGACUGGGGAACGGCCCGGACUACUACGGGAGGCAGCAGUGGGGAGUAUUGCACAAGGGGCGCAAGCCUGAUGCAGCGACGCCGCGUGAGGGAUAACGGCCUUCGGGUUGUAAACCUCUUUCAGUAGGGAAGAAGAGAAAGUGACGGUACCUGCAGAAGAAGCACCGGCUAACUACGUG
rnacentral:rRNA from 1 species